rnacentral:rRNA from 1 species
GACGAACGCUGGCGGCGUGCUUAACACAUGCAAGUCGAACGGGCCCGCCCCUGUUUUUGGGGGUGGGUUGAGUGGCGAACGGGUGAGUAUCACGUGAGUAACCUGCCCCCUGCUCCUGGAUAACUGCUUGAAAGGGCGGCUAAUACGGGGUGUGCCGGCUGGUCCGCAUGGGCCUGGUCGGGAUAGUUUCAUCUUCGGGUGUUUCGGUGGGGGAUGGGCUCGCGGCCUAUCAGCUUGUUGGUGGGGUGAUGGCCCACCAAGGCGGUGACGGGUAGCCGGCCUGAGGGGGUGGGCGGCCACACUGGGACUGAGACACGGCCCAGACUCCUGCGGGAGGCAGCAGUGGGGGGUAUUGCACAAUGGGCGGAAGCCUGAUGCAGCGACGUCGCGUGAGGGAUGGAGGCCUUCGGGUGGUGAACCUCUUUCUCCGGUGGUGAAGGCCCUGUCCGUUGCGGCGGGGUUGACGGUAGCCGGGUAUGAAGCGCCGGCUAACUACGUG